ACCUAGAGCGACGCUCUUUGGGGAAGGGCAGGGCCCGGCCCGCCCGCCACCACCAGCUCUCCUUGCAACAGCCUGACAAAUAGCUCUCCGCCGCGUGGGGCCGGAGCGCGCGCCGGCCCCGCUGCCAGCGCCGCGGCAGGAACCGGUUCUCAGGUUCUGGCCGCGUGUCCUUCCCGGUCCGUCAGGGGCUGCUGUCAGGCGUGCGGGCCGCGAUUGGCUGGGAGGAGGGCAGUCCUCCCACCUGCCUGUUGUACCCGGCUAAUCAGGGCAGCCGUUGGAUUGCAGGUUCGGAGCGGAGGCGCCCGGUGGUGUCAGACACCUGUGUCUUCUUAGCUCUCCCCUUCCUGGCGCUGGCUCCCGUGGAUCCCUUCCCGGCUGGAACUGUGCCUGGACGCCACCGCUCCCGAGCCACUGAGCCCCCCCUCGGCGGGCCAGCUUGGCCCAGGGUCCCCCGGCACAGGCAUGUCCAACAGACAUCUGAGGACAAUGGACAUGCUAGCUUAGACGUCCUUAAGGGCAAAGGGCGAAGGGCUUUGAAGAAUUCCCCAGGCGAGCCAGGCGAAGCAUUUUCUGCGAGGGACGUUGAUGGUGCGUUGUUUUCCUUCGCAAAGGACUGUGAGGAUAUAAUCUCACCGCUGCCCUUGACCGUCACCUGUCAAACCAAAGCACACGAGCCAGUGCCCAGUCUUUCGUUAUUAUAAAAGCGGGACAGAAUAUACCCGCCAUGGGGUGGCUGUCCAGCCAAGGGAAACCAGCUUCCUUUCAGAGAACGUUGACCCGUUUGCUCUCACUGAGUGAUGUGCCAUUGAGAUGCGAGUGAAGUCAAGCAUUUGUGGAAGAGUUUUGUUUCGCCGGACCACAGGUGUUCCUUUUCCAUGGUUGUGGCUUUCUGAAAAGGUGACAGUAGGUUCUGAGGGUGUUACUGCUUUGAUGAGGAGGAAAUUAAAGCGCCAAAAAAAAAAAGAGGAGAGUGGUUAGCGUUAUACAUAUUGAUGUGAACUUUGGAGAGUGAGCCUCCUAUUUUGCAGAAAUAACUGCACCCCUUGUUUUAUGCCAUCGACUUUUACCUAUUUUUCAAAUAGCCACGUGUCUUGAUAAACUCUUGAAGUGA